rnacentral:rRNA from 1 species
UGGGGAAUUUUGGACAAUGGGCGCAAGCCUGAUCCAGCAAUGCCGCGUGCAGGAUGAAGGCCUUCGGGUUGUAAACUGCUUUUGUACGGAACGAAACGGUCUUUUCUAAUACAGAAGGCUAAUGACGGUACCGUAAGAAUAAGCACCGGCUAACUACGUGCCAGCAGCCGCGGUAAUACGUAGGGUGCGAGCGUUAAUCGGAAUUACUGGGCGUAAAGCGUGCGCAGGCGGUUUUGUAAGUCUGAUGUGAAAUCCCCGGGCUCAACCUGGGAAUUGCAUUGGAGACUGCAAGGCUAGAAUCUGGCAGAGGGGGGUAGAAUUCCACGUGUAGCAGUGAAAUGCGUAGAUAUGCGGAGGAACACCGAUGGCGAAGGCAAUCCCCUGGGCCUGCACUGACGCUCAUGCACGAAAGCGUGGGGAGCAAACA